CUUGAUCGACCCGAGCAGCAGCGGCCGGUCGCCGGGGCGAUCCUGCCCAUAGGUGGCCAGCAACGCCUGCGCCUC
rnacentral:antisense_RNA from 1 species